GUUGCUUUAUAAUGGUGAACACCCUGUUGAUUUUGGUUGGGGAUGUUCAAUUUUCCAAAGCAUAGAGUGAUUGAUUAAUUGCCAGUAUUUAACAGCACCGUGCGUAUUUUUGCCUGCACUGUGUUACCUGUCUCCUGGUACAUUU